CUCUGGUGUGUCUCUGGUGACCAACACGUCCUCCAGAACUGUAGCAGGUGUGUAUCUGGUGUCCAACUUGUCCUCCAGAACUGUAGCAGUGAUCCAGCAGAAGACUGGGAUGUGACACAUGAUGUGGAGGCUUCGUGAUGUCUUCACGUGGGAGAUU